ACGGAAGGCAGCAGUAGGGAAUCUUCGGCAAUGGGGGCAACCCUGACCGGGCAACGCCGCGUGAGUGAAGAAGGUUUUCGGAUCGUAAAGCUCUGUUGUAAGAGAAGAACGUGUGUGAGAGUGGAAAGUUCACACAGUGACGGUAACUUACCAGAAAGGGACGGCUAACUACGUGCCAGCAGCCGCGGUAAUACGUAGGUCCCGAGCGUUGUCCGGAUUUAUUGGGCGUAAAGCGAGCGCAGGCGGUUUAAUAAGUCUGAAGUUAAAGGCAGUGGCUUAACCAUUGUUCGCUUUGGAAACUGUUAGACUUGAGUGCAGAAGGGGAGAGUGGAAUUCCAUGUGUAGCGGUGAAAUGCGUAGAUAUAUGGAGGAACACCGGUGGCGAAAGCGGCUCUCUGGUCUGUAACUGACGCUGAGGCUCGAAAGCGUGGUGAGCAAACAGGAUUAGAUACCCUGGUA
rnacentral:rRNA from 1 species